UUGAAGAUUAAACGGAAAUGAGUAAGAAUGAUUAAAUGGUUUAAUCAUUUAUUUAUGGCAAUGAUUAAUUAAUAUGUUAAUUAAUCAAACGAAUAAGUUCGUUAAAUGACUUCGGGAUAGUUUUGGACCUUAAGGCCCAAUGGGCUUCGAACGUCAAGCCCAUUAACUUAAGUUGUAUGACAAUUUAAUGAAUAAAGAUUCAUUAAGGCCCAAAAGCCCAAAUCUCUCUAUAUGGCCGGCCAUGAAGAUGAAUUAGGGUUUUUUGGUUGUUUAGGUCACUUAAAGAAGUGACUAUAUAAAUGACUUUAUAGCCAAAUAUUCAUUAAGUGAAAAAGGGUUUAUUUUGGGGGAAAAUUGGUGAGAAUUGUCUCUCCAUUUUCUCUCUAAAGAGGCCAACACCUU
rnacentral:lncRNA from 1 species